AGCUCCAAUAGCGUAUAUUAAAGUUGUUGUGGUUAAAAAGCUCGUAGUUGGAUCUCGGCGGUCUGAGGGCGGUUCGCUUGAUUGAGUGCUACUGCUCUAUAGGCCGUGGUUUUGCCAGAGGUCUCGGGGUGCUCUUAACCGAGUGUCCUGCGAUGCUGGCAGGUUUACUUUGAAAAAAUUAGAGUGCUCAAAGCAGGCUUUUACGCCUGAAUAUUCGUGCAUGGAAUAAUAGAAGAGGAAGUCGUCUCUAUUUUGUUGGUUUUCGGAAAUCGACUUAAUGAUUAAUAGGGACAGUCGGGGGCAUUUGUAUUCAAACGACAGAGGUGAAAUUCUUGGAUUUAUGAAAGAUGAACUUAGGCGAAAGCAUUUACCAAGGAUGUUUUCA
rnacentral:rRNA from 1 species